rnacentral:rRNA from 1 species
GACGAACGCUGGCGGCGUGCCUAAUACAUGCAAGUCGAACGAGUGGCGGACGGGUGAGUAACACGUGGGAACCUACCCAUCAGAGGGGGAUAACACUUGGAAACAGGUGCUAAUACCGCAUACUGAUGGAUUGACCCGCGGUGCAUUAGCUGGUAGGUGGGGUAACGGCUCAACUAGGCGACGAGCCCUAGCUGGUCUGAUAGGAUGACCCGCCACACGGGAACUGAGACACGGUCCAGACUCCUACGGGAGGCAGCAGUUGGGAAUAUUGCACAAUGGGCGCAAGCCUGAUGCAGCCAUGCCGCGUGUGUGAAUAAGGCCUUCGGGUUGUAAAGCACUUUCAGCGGGGAGGCGUUACCCGCAGAAGAAGCACCGGCUAACUCCGUGCCAGCAGCCGCGGUAAUUC